rnacentral:lncRNA from 1 species
GAACAAAAAGGAAAAAGAAAAAGAAAACAGCGCAGUGGGCUGCUUGGAAACUGGGCCGCAGACCGGCCCACUGCUUCCGGCCCGCGUCCGCGCCGCGCACGCCCGCGCGCUUUCUCUCUCUCUCAGCCACUGACAGGGUAGCCCCACCCGUCAGAUCUCUCUCUCUCACGCACGGCGGCUCGGCCGCAACUCCGGCGACCGAUAGUGAGGCCCUCGGCCUCCGCGCGCGCGCGCAUCGGCUCCGCCUCAACUCCGCGACUCCAUUGGUACCACUCGCGGACGCUCUACCUCACUGCUACCACCUCGGCCACGAUAGGAGCGGGCGGUCGCCAUGGCCGACUGUCGGCCGGCCACUAGGACCCGGUAGAGAGCAAACGAAUGGCGUAGAGAGGUUCAAGGUGGUGUAGGGAACACGAUGCUCACGUCACCACGGUGGGAGAAGUAGCUGAAGUUGUUGGCGACGGAGACAGUGCGAUCGGGCGGGCGCUCCGGCUCCGGCGAGCUCGUUUCGGCGAUUCUGUUCGCGCCCAAAGGAAAAGAGAGAGAGCAUGAGCUACUAGAACACAAGAGAAACUCGAAACAGCUGCCAUGGAAACGUGAUACCGACUAGAACACCGUGGCCACGGUAAGAGCCCCACGGCGGCAGUUCUGGCCGGAGAUGGAGAAGAUGGAGGUGUCUCGGCGAUUGAGAGGGUUAUGGGGCGAGCUUGGUGGUGUUCUGGAUUCGCAAGGAGGUGGCGAACAUCAUGGACAGCUCAAUUUGAUGCGAGGAGAAUCGAGCACGGCCAAUUUGGAUGGAGACGAGAUGCUGCUCCUCGGUGCUCCGGUGGCGGAAAUGGAGUCGACGAGCGCAGCAGAGAAGGGCACGUCGCGCCUCUGGUUGCCAGCAGCUGCUCCACAUCGUCACGGACGUGAACACGCGCGUGGACGAGGUAAAACGGUGACCAUGCGCUGGCAUUCACCGAUCCAGACUCGGGUGUCCACCGCCAUGAACAGGAGCCAAAGCUUAUCCCCCCCUUUUUGUCUGGUUUUGCAAAAAUCGACCAAAAGAUGAACUGAAGCCAAAUUUUCACCAAAAAUAAACUUGUGCAAAAUUUUGUGAGCUACAAAACAUAUUUAGGUGUCCCAAGCUGAUUCUGAGUGGAAACUAGUGAUUUUGCCAAAACAGUUUUGAAAUUCAAAUCCCAAAUUGGGGAAAUUCCAAAUUUUGAAUUGGAGCAGAUUAGAAUUUCCAAAAUUACUUUUGAUUUUCCAAAACAACUUGAAAAACUAUCAACAUGAAAGUUGUUCAAAUUUUCAAGCCCUACAACUCUCAUGUUGACCAUUUUUCAAAAUUCCAAACAGAUUUUGAAUUGGAGAUUUAAGUUUGAAAAGAGGACACUUUCCGGAAAUCUGUAUUUUCAAAAUUACUUUGAAUUUUGUACUGAAACUUCAAAAACUCAAAACACCAAAGUUGUACAUCUUGACAAGAUCUACAACUUUGCUUUUGAACUCAACUUCAAACUUUGCUUUGUUUUUGAAUUGCACAAAAGGGGCAAAUCUAGGUUUUUGAAAUUAGGGUUUCCCCCUUAAGUCUUUCGGAAAAACUUUCACCCAGGGUUUUAAUCACCAACACAAACAUCCAUACACAAUAUAAGCACACUUUAAUUUCCUAAGCACAAUCAACCAAAAUAACCUUAUUUUAAGUUGAUGCAUAAUAAUGUGCUUAACAAAUAUGCUUUGCAAUGCUUAUGAUGACAUGAUCCAGUUUUAGUGUUCGUAACAUCAGGGAUGUUACAGCCUUAAAUUUCAUGAUUUUUGGAUAUACCUAUGAACUAUUAAAAAUCAUGGAAGGUUUAUUCAUUAAUAAACAAAGGCAAUUUAUAUAUAUAUGAAAAUUACCAGAAAACAGAACCUAACAUUUUUCUUAUGCUCUAUCCAUUUUAUGUAAGCUAUACAAAAAUUUUCACAAUUUUUGGAUUAGCACAACAUUUACUACACAAAAUCAAACAUCAAUCACUUUUGAACAAAAAGGAAAAAGAAAAAGAAAACAGCGCAGUGGGCUGCUUGGAAACUGGGCCGCAGACCGGCCCACUGCUUCCGGCCCGCGUCCGCGCCGCGCACGCCCGCGCGCUUUCUCUCUCUCUCAGCCACUGACAGGGUAGCCCCACCCGUCAGAUCUCUCUCUCUCACGCACGGCGGCUCGGCCGCAACUCCGGCGACCGAUAGUGAGGCCCUCGGCCUCCGCGCGCGCGCGCAUCGGCUCCGCCUCAACUCCGCGACUCCAUUGGUACCACUCGCGGACGCUCUACCUCACUGCUACCACCUCGGCCACGAUAGGAGCGGGCGGUCGCCAUGGCCGACUGUCGGCCGGCCACUAGGACCCGGUAGAGAGCAAACGAAUGGCGUAGAGAGGUUCAAGGUGGUGUAGGGAACACGAUGCUCACGUCACCACGGUGGGAGAAGUAGCUGA